AACUUGUUCCCCAGGCGAUGCAGCAUAAUUUUCUGAAAUCCUCUUCUGAAGCUCUGCAAUGUCUACUUCUGUGGUCUUGGCUGCUCUUCUGGGCCUGUUUAGUUUAAAUCAGGCAUCUCUGCCAGACUGUAAGGAGCUCAUAACACCACGAACCCUGGAGGAUGACAAUAAAAGUAUCAUGGGUAAAUGGAUCUUCCUUGAAGGCAUAGCUGAUCACCACUUAUUUACAGAUAUCUUGAAGACUGUGAACAGCUCAUGGAUGGAGUUUGGCCCAAGCACUCUUGCAAAAACUUUAACCCUCAGUCAAGGGGAUAUGCUAAAUGGAAAGUGUAGAUUUUGCACCAUUAACACAACUGUUAAAGAUAGUAUUUUUUAUGCCAGUGGAAAUGACGUAGUUUCAGAGGCCAAGUUCUUGCCAUCCUGUCCUGACUGUCUCACCAUGAACUUCAUCAGCCAAUUAAAAAAUGAGACCAUAUAUUCUUUAUACUUAUUCAAGAGAGAGAGCAACCGAACCGAGUCUGACAUGGACACCUACUGGAAGCAAGCUGAGUGUCUUGGAUUUAAAAGAGAAACCCAGUACUCCUAUGAUGGAGUAACAGAACUCUGUCAUGUGGUCAAGGACAACUCAUCUGACCAGAAGCCAAGUUUGGACAAAUCAGAUCAAUAAUUAAAUUAGAUUAGAUUCAACUUUAUUGUCAAUGCACCUGUAAAGUACAAGGCAACGAAAUGCAGUUAGCAUCUAACAAGAAGUGCAAUAAGCAGUAAGUACAGGAUAUACAGUGUCUACAAUAUGUUACAAAUGUACAAUAAAUAUUCAGAUAAGGCAGUACUAUGGACAUAAUUUACAGAUUUUUAAAUACUAUCGGCAUGAUAUACGGAUAGGUGUACUAUGAACAUACUAUACAGAUGGAUUAUGUAAUAAGUGUAUGUACACUAUAAGCAGAAACUAUGAACCUCAUUUACAAAUGAAUAUGUUAGCGAUACAUUAAACUGUACAAAACACUAGUGCAAUGGACAUUUAAAAAAAGUGCAUUAUCAGAAAACAAAUGAUUAUUAAUGUGUCUGUGUGGGUAAGUUCAGUAUCUUUUGGGUUUGUCCUCAUUUCUAAAGGCUAAAGGUUAUUCUGACAGGUGUUUUCCAGUUGCCCAAAGUCCAGAGAUUUACACACUCAAUUCAAUCCAGUUAACUAGAAUUCUCAGAACCUGUUGCAUCACUUCAGGGAGAGAGAAAAAAACAGUACUGUGUAUCUGGACUAUUUAGGGUACUUGAUCCACACACAGCAUGAUUUUCUGAAAUCCUCUUCUGAAGUUCUACAAUGUCUACGAACAUCAGUGGUUUUUUAAAUGCUCUGGGCCUGUUUAAUUUGAGUCAGGCAUCUCUGCCAGACUGUAAGGAGCUCAUAACACAGCUAACCCUGGAGGAUGACAAUAAAAGUGCAAGUCUGCCAGACUACAAAGAGCUCGUAACACUAAUAAACCUGGAAGAUAAAAGUGUAAAUACUGUGACGAGUCAGCUGCCUCCCCCCUAAUUAUUAUCGUGACCCCGUCCCAAAUCGCUGCCCACCAGGCUCCCGACAGGAGUGGGUGUGUGAUAGAGGAGGGGCGCUGGAAGAGCCAGGGCUGGCGGCGUGUGAUGGGGCACACCUGAUGCAAAUGGAGCUUCAUCACCGCCGCUCUUUAAAUGCCGAGCGCGCCUCUCCUCAGAGACCGGUCUCUUCCUCGUUCAUGCACGCUGGUGUCUUCGUGGGUCCAGGAAGGGUGCGUAGAGGGACUCCCGCGCCGCCAGAGACGUGAGCUGCCGGACCCGCGGUCCGGACGAGAACCGCGCCCGUUUCACGGCCGUCGGGGCAGGAUGCCGGGCUGUCUAGUCCCUUUAAGCGCCGAUGCAGCCGCUGGAAGAAGCCGACGCCCCUCGCGCGCCGGACAGAAGAGGGGCGCGCGUGCGGCAGCCGGACUCCGCCCCUUACCUGGACCCUUCCCUCCUAAACACUACCUGUCCGUCACAUGCCCCGCAGCACGACGAGGACACCAGAUUCCCUGUUUAUUUUGGACACUCUUCCCCUUUGGACACUUAUUUCCCUUUUAUUCCCUAUUUGUUCUGUUAAUAAAAGCCUCUCCGAGUGCUGACGCCACACCCACUGUCCGUUUGCUCCUCCCGCCACAAUAUACUUUUCAGGAUAUUAAA